GCCUGGGUGGCUCAGUCGGUUAAGCAUCUGACUUCGGCUCAGGUCAUGAUCUCGCGGUCCGUGAGUUCGAGCCCCGCGUCGGGCU
rnacentral:tRNA from 1 species